rnacentral:rRNA from 1 species
UACGUAGGGUCCGAGCGUUGUUCGGAUUUACUGGGCGUAAAGGGCGCGUAGGCGGCCACCGCAAGUCGGUUGUGAAAUCUCCGGGCUUAACCCGGAGCGGUCAAGUGAUACUGUCGUGCUAGAGUGCGGAAGGGGCUACUGGAAUUCUCGGUGUAGCGGUGAAAUGCGUAGAUAUCGAGAGGAACACCUGCGGCGAAGGCGGGUAGCUGGGCCGACACUGACGCUGAUGCGCGAAAGCCAGGGGAGCGAACGGG